rnacentral:lncRNA from 1 species
GAAAAUUUAAAAUGUUAUUGUAUCGACGGGUUAAGAUAAAUACAGACAACAGUAGUAUACCGCUGUUCGAAAUUCAUAAAUCGAUUGAGAAAAAAAACAAAUCCGGGUUACAAACAAAAACUGAGGGAAACGCAUCAAAUAUAAGAGGAGAACUACGACACAACAGAAACACAACAUUAAAAUGUAUCACACACAGAAACGAACAAUAAUAUAACACUAGCCAUUUUCCUGGCUUGGUACUGGACAUUUUAAGAAAAAAAAUGUGGGUUGAACCUGGUUUUGUGACAUGCCGAACCUCCCGCUUUUAUGACAAUGUUAACUAUAACAUACAAAUGACAACAUUACAUGACAGGACUACAACACAAAUAAAUGGAAGAACAUAUAGG